AUUUUGUUUUUACAUCAUAU
rnacentral:sRNA from 1 species